UGACCGCCUGGGGAGUACGCCGCAAGGUGAAACUCAAAGGAACGACGGGACCCGCACAAGCGGUGAAUGAUGUGGUUAUUCGACCAACGCGAAAAACCUACCACCCUGACAGGCAGAAUCCGAAGAGAUUGGGAGUGCUCGAAAGAGAACCUGCACACAGGUGCUGCAUGGCCGUCGUCAGCUCGUGUCGUGAGAUGUUGGGUUAAGUCCCGCAACGAGCGCAACCCUUGUCAUUAGUUGCUACGAAAGGGCACUCUAAUGAGACUGCCGGUGACAAACCGGAGGAAGGUGGGGAUGACGUCAGGUCCUCAUGGCCCUUAUGGGUAGGGCUACACACGUCAUACAAUGGCCGGUACAGAGGGCUGCCAACCCGCGAGGGGGAGCCAAUCCCAGAAAACCGGUCGUAGUCCGGAUCGCAGUAUGCAACUCGACUGCGUGAAGUCGGAAUCGUUAGUAAUCGCGGAUCAGCUUGCCGCGGUGAAUACGUUCCCGGGUCUUGUACACACCGCCCGUCACACCAUGGGAGCGGGUUCUGCCAGAAGUAGUUAGCCUAACCGCAAGGA
rnacentral:rRNA from 1 species